UACGUAGGGGCAGCAGUGUUCGGUUCGAUUUGUGGCGUAAAGAGCUCGUAGGUGGUUCGGUAAGUCGGAUGUGAAAUCUCCAGGCUCAACCUGGAGGGGUCAUUCGAUACUGCCGUGACUAGAGGUCGGUAGGGGAGUGUGGAAUUCCUGGUGGAGCGGUGAAAUGCGCAGAUAUCAGGAGGAACACCCGUAGCGAAGGCGGCACUCUGGGCCGAUACUGACACUGAGGAGCGAAAGCAUGGGUAGCGAACAGG
rnacentral:rRNA from 1 species